CGCUUUCUCCUUGUUUGUGGAAAUCCAUGGAGUCGCUCACAGUGCCCCCUGCUCAGCCUCACACUUCCAUCAUGCGCGCGCUGCUACUCCAAUGACGUCCGGGCCCCGCCAUGUAGGUUCUUCUCCCUGGUUGACUGCGAACGCCGUAACAAACCAAGCGGAUACGCUGGCGAAGAUCAAGGAUUAUGUUGGCCGAACUCGCAUACCUAUGCCUAUAAAAUUCAAGCUACCGCACUCUGUUCACCCCAACCUAGCCCGCAAGUCUCAGAGCAAAUCAAGCGCUAACAGAGAGAGAUCGGUGUGAGGGAAUCUACCGCCGCCAUCGAACCUAUGGGGGUUGGCGCAGGGACCUCGUCGAGCUUCUCGUGUGUGCGCUAGGGCAGGAGGGGAGCGUCCGCUUCAUCAAUUGGUGGGGUGUGGUCCCAGAGCCAUCACAAUUGCUCGCUGGAUCGAGGAAAUCCCCACCGUACCGCCAUCCUUUGUCACCAGGGCGCUGCGUGGCGCAAUUACUGGUCAAGAACAGAUACCACAGGAUGAGGCGCAUGAAGGAUGUUGUGAUGAGUUCGUGAGUGGUCUAGGCCAUCGUCUCCUAGUCAACUAUGGUUGCUAGAUCAUUGUCUUUGUAUGACGUAAUUAUUUAUAUAUUUUGUACAUAACUCCAUUAUAUAUUAAUGAUGUGACAUUCGUUUC